rnacentral:rRNA from 1 species
UACAUGGGGUGCAAACGUUGCUCGGAAUUAUUGGGCGUAAAGAGCUCGUAGGCGGUUUGUCGCGUCUGCCGUGAAAGUCCGGGGCUCAACUCCGGAUCUGCGGUGGGUACGGGCAGACUAGAGUGAUGUAGGGGAGAACGGAAUUCCCGGUGUAGCGGUGAAAUGCGCAGAUAUCGGGAGGAACACCGGUGGCGAAGGCGGUUCUCUGGGCCUGUACUGACGCUGAGGAGCGAAAGCGUGGGGAGCGAACAGG